rnacentral:rRNA from 1 species
AUUGAACGCUGGCGGCAGGCCUAACACAUGCAAGUCGAGCGAGCGGCGGACGGGUGAGUAAUGUCUGGGAAACUGCCUGAUGGAGGGGGAUAACUACUGGAAACGGUAGCUAAUACCGCAUACCAUCGGAUGUGCCCAGAUGGGAUUGGCAGGUGGGUGGGGUAACGGCGCACCUAGGCGACGAUCCCUAGCGGGUCUGAGAGGAUGACCAGCAACACUGGAACUGAGACACGGUCCGACCUCCUCCGGGAGGAAGAAGUGGGGAAUAUUGCACAAUGGCCGCAAGCCUGAUGCAGAAAUGCCGCGUGGAUGAAGAGGGCCUUCGGGUUGUAAGGUACUUUCAGCGGGGAGGCGUUACCCGCAGAGGAAGCACCGGCUAACUCCGUGCCAGCAGCCGCGGUAAUUC